rnacentral:rRNA from 1 species
GCAAAAUGUAGCUUACUAAACAAAGCGCCUCGCUUAGCCCAAAACCAAGCCUAAUCUUACCCGCAUACACCACCACACCCACCCAGUGAGCAGAUAAAACAUUUUAACUGUUUAGUAGAGGUGAUCAAAAAAUAAAUUAGAGCCUCAUAAGAAGUACCGCAAGGGAAUGGUGAAAUAAAUAUGAAACAGAUUUAAAGCGCGCUAUAGCAGAGUAAAUCCCUCGUACCUUUUGCAUCAUGGUUUAGCCAGUCUUUAUCAAGCAAAGCGAGACACAAGUUUGAUCUCCCGAAACUGGGCGAGCUACUUCGAAACAGCUUUUAGAGCCAACCCGUCUCUGUUGCAAAAGAGUGGGAUGAUUCCCAAGUAGCGGUGAUAAGCCUAUCGAGCCCAGAGAUAGCUGGUUAUUCAGAAAAAGAAUGUUAGUUCUGCCUUAAGCUUAAUGAUUAUGACAAAAAUAACUAUAAACUUAAGAGUUAUUCAAAUAAGGCACAGCUUGUUUGAAAAAGGACACAACCUAGAAUAAUGGGUAAGCAACACUAUACAACUUUAAGUGGGCCUGAAAGCAGCCACCUUUAAAAAAGCGUUAAAGCUUAAUUCUAGCUAAAAUCUAUAAUACCAUCAUUAUAUACGAACCCUCAACCAAAACUGAAUAAUCCUAUAACUAUAUAGGAGCUAUAAUGCUAAAACUAGUAACAAGAAGUAGCCCUUCUCCAAAAUGCAAGCAAAACCCAACUUAGACUAACUAUUGGCUAUUAACGUCUAUGAACUUAAUAUAGUAACUAACCCUAGCAAACCCUAUACACCACGACGUUAACCUUACACAAGAGCAUUCCUGGAAAGAUCGAAAGAAAAAGAAGGAACUCGGCAAAUUUAGGCCUCGCCUGUUUACCAAAAACAUCGCCUCUUGCCCUUACAUAAGAGGUCCAGCCUGCCCAGUGACAUAAUUAAACGGCCGCGGUACCCUGACCGUGCGAAGGUAGCAUAAUAACUUGUUCUUUAAAUGGGGACUAGCAUGAACGGCACCACGAAGGCCUCACUGUCUCCUUUUUCCAAUCAGUGAAACUGAUCUCCCCGUGAAGAAGCGGGGAUAAUAAUAUAAGACGAGAAGACCCCAUGGAGCUUUAAACCCAAUAAGCAACCCUAAUCAACACAAUUCAUCUAAAUUCUUUCUCCCCUGCUUUUUGGUUUUAGGUUGGGGUGACCACGGAGUAAAACAUAUCCUCCAUGACGUACGGGAUUAACCCUUAUCCAAGAGCCACCGCUCUAAGAAUCAACAAAUUGACGUUUCUUGAUCCAAUGUAUUGAUCAACGAACCAAGUUACCCUGGGGAUAACAGCGCAAUCCAUUUUUAGAGCCCCUAUCGACGAAUGGGUUUACGACCUCGAUGUUGGAUCAGGGUACCCAAGUGG